GGGGAGCGCGCCCUCGCCCUGGCCCCUCCGAGCCUCCGACUAGUCCUUGCAACUUCGGGGCCUGGCCACCGGGAAAAGUUGGCCCGUGCCAGCUGGCCGACGGGGAUCAAACAGGCCUCAGAUGAGCUGUAAAGCAGCUGAGGGCAUCUGCUCUCAAGAGGCAUCUCCAGGAGAGACACAGAAACCCAAACAGAUGUGACUGUGAUGAGUAAAAAUGAGAGAAUUCAGACAGCCUAUAUCAGGAGCAGCCUCAGUACCUUCUGCGCAGGAAGGAAUUGGCCGUCUUUCUGAAACUCCGAAAAUGAGAGAUUUCAAACACCCGUCCUUCGUGAAGGCUAUGAACCCUUCAUGGGAGCAGCGACCUCCUCGUACCCCCCCAGGAAAAAAGCAUCGUAUCUCCGAAGACAAAGGGACACCAAGAAGAAUCCUGACAGGCCUUGCUAAGCUUCCCCUGGUUUCCCACACUUACCUUAUACUCCUUGGCCUAUCAUACGUCUACACGACAGCCCUUUCUUCAUCAAACCCAGUGCAAAGAUAACUCGGGUCUAAUUGUUUCCUUGGGCCUUCAUUUCAUUUUGAAGGCAGUUAUGUAACACUUUUCAUGAAAUGAUUCUGCAUGUUCUUUCUUGUUAAUUUGUCUUUUGUCUAAUUUUCAGAGCCAGCCAGGGACCCUAGGAGGGUUGAGGAAGCUUUUUCUUUCCCCACCCUCUCACGGGCUCGGACAGCUCCUCUGAGCUCCAUAUAUGGAUAGUUCCACCCCAGUGGCACUCAGGACCUCAGAAUCCCGAGCCAAUCCUAAACAGACCUCAUCUCGCAAAACGGAUUCCUCCUCUCUUAUUCCAUGUGGCCAUUAAGUUUGUUGCUUACAUCCUACCCCUUUCUGGAUUCAUUCACCGUCUCACCCGAGCCAGAGACUUGGGUGUUAGCCUGAAUUCUUCCUUUCCCAACCUCACUUCCAAAGAGUAACCAAGUACCGCAGGUACUUCCAAAGAGUAACCAAGUACCUUCCUAUGGCAUUUUCUUAAUCCCUAUUGUUAAAACUUUCACCUAGGCCCAUUUCCUUUCUUGCCUGAAUUUUACCACAGCCUCCUCUGUGGCCUGUGAUCAAACUGCUGUGCUCGCUGCGAUGAUUCUAACGGACAAGUCUGAUCCUGCCAGGACCUGUUCACAAGUCUCAGUGGCCCUCCACUUACAAGCCCUCCGUUAUCUGGCCCCGGACUUCCCUGUCACCCUUACAUCCUGCCUCAGACACACCGUAUUUCAGAUGCGCCAAAGUACUUACCUUUCCCCAAGCACCCCCAUCCAGCCCUUUAGCCGCUCCAACUACCGUACCUGUCAAAAUUCUGUUCCCUCUUGCUCGGCAAACUCUUUAAGAUCUAUGUGUGGCAUCAUCUCCUCUGGGAAAUCUUCCCCAACCAUCCCCGAGUAAAGACACUUUCCACUUC